UCCACGGCGGCAACGGUGCGAAAGCCCUGGAAGAUAUUUUGCUGGACCGUCACUCCCGCAGACAAGGGGCUCAG
rnacentral:tRNA from 1 species